AUUGAACGCUGGCGGCAGGCCUAACACAUGCAAGUCGAACGGUAACAGGGAUCAGCUUGCUGAUUCGCUGACGAGUGGCGGACGGGUGAGUAAUGUCUGGGAAACUGCCUGAUGGAGGGGGAUAACUACUGGAAACGGUAGCUAAUACCGCAUAACGUCGCAAGACCAAAGAGGGGGACCUUCUGGCCUCUUGCCAUCGGAUGUGCCCAGAUGGGAUUAGCUAGUAGGUGGGGUAACGGCUCACCUAGGCGACGAUCCCUAGCUGGUCUGAGAGGAUGACCAGCCACACUGGAACUGAGACACGGUCCAGACUCCUACGGGAGGCAGCAGUGGGGAAUAUUGCACAAUGGGCGCAAGCCUGAUGCAGCCAUGCCGCGUGUAUGAAGAAGGCCUUCGGGUUGUAAAGUACUUUCAGAGGGGAGGAAGGGAGUAAAGUUAAUACCUUGGCUCAUUGACGUUACCCGCAGAAGAAGCACCGGCUAACUCCGUG
rnacentral:rRNA from 1 species